CCCUAUGGGGUGCAGCAGGCUAAGCACCUGCACCACCAGGAUAUUUACCGAAACCGUCAGCAUAAAGAACAGCAUCACCACCCGGGUCAACGAGAGGCUACGGAAGACCCUGAGGCACAACAGACCCGCAAUAACGAUGUACAGGAUGGCGGAAAGGAUCAACAUGAACGACCUGUUAACCGGCUCGGGUUCAUUUUACCAGCCUAUGGCUUGCGGAGAAGCACUUCCUGUUUUUCGAUGCGUUCAUGCAGGCUGGCAACCAGCGGACAGGCGCGCGUGUGAUCACUCGCCGGUUUGCGCGCCAGUGGUUUCACCGGCACACUGGAAAUAUCCAGCGCCACCGCCUGCACAAAGAACUGCACCGCCAGGAUGAUGGGCAGGACAGCGAUCAGCACGGUGCCGGUCGUGGCGGGGGGGC
rnacentral:rRNA from 1 species